UGUUCUGUGGCUUAGUUAGUUAAAGCACCGGUCUAGCGAAUACGGAGUCGUGGGUUCAAACCCCAUCAAAACGC
rnacentral:tRNA from 1 species